GGUUAUUUAACGUGAACUAAAUGCAGUAAUGUGCUAUAGCUAUGGCAACUAAAUGGAUAAUUCACAACUCAUAACUAGUAGUUUACAACUCAUGACAACUUGGCAACUCAAUUCUCGACUCAUUUCUUGACUCUUCACAACUCGACUCUCAACCCACGACUCCUCACAACUCGACUCCUCAUUGACGACUCCUCGCAACUCGACUCUCAGGUAACGAGUCCUCACAACUCGACUCUCGGAUAACGACUGCCUGUUAAUUUGUCCUUCUCCCUUAAGCAUCCCUUUGUCUUUUCUCAUAGCCCCACCACGUACG
rnacentral:misc_RNA from 1 species